GAUGAACGCUGGCGGCGUGCCUAACACAUGCAAGUCGAGCGAUUCUCUUCGGAGAAGAGCGGCGGACGGGUGAGUAACGCGUGGGUAACCUGCCCUGUACACACGGAUAACAUACCGAAAGGUAUGCUAAUACGGGAUAAUAUGAGAGAGUCGCAUGGCUUUCUUAUCAAAGCUCCGGCGGUACAGGAUGGACCCGCGUCUGAUUAGCUAGUUGGUGAGGUAAUGGCUUACCAAGGCGACGAUCAGUAGCCGACCUGAGAGGGUGAUCGGCCACAUUGGAACUGAGACACGGUCCAAACUCCUACGGGAGGCAGCAGUGGGGAAUAUUGCACAAUGGGCGAAAGCCUGAUGCAGCAACGCCGCGUGGGCGAUGAAGGCCUUCGGGUCGUAAAGCUCUGUCCUCAAGGAAGAUAAUGACGGUACUUGAGGAGGAAGCCCCGGCUAACUACGUGCCAGCCGCCGCCGUAAAAC
rnacentral:rRNA from 1 species